CAAACGGGCGGCUACGAUUUUGCCCCUAUCCUUAAAAUCUCGCAUACGAAUUUCUGCUCAUCAAUCGCCGUCCAGUUCCUAGUUGAUACCUCACCAUUCCAACCUAUUAAUUAAAGCCUCUGCUUUGCAUCAUUCAAAGCUUUUAGUUAAGAAGCAACAAAUUCGUUGCCUUCCGCGAUAUCGGUUUCGUUUUCGUCUCCCUCUCUCAAUUUGCAUCCCCAUAUAAUAAGAUUUCUAGGGCUUCUGUUAACCAGGAAGAGAAAGAAGAGCAAGGACAAAAAAAUUUAGAAACGAGAGAGAGAGAGAUGAUGGAGCUAUUCAUCCUCGGUUGCGCCGGCGUUGUAGUGCUCCUCCAUAGCGCCAAUUUCUUCUUCCAUGCUUUAUCUCGUAAGAUCGGCUUCCGAUCCCUCAGCUUCCUUGGAUUCAUUGGGUGAGUGGGGAAUCAAUGGAUUGGGAGCUUCAAAUAUGCUAGAGUAAAUCUGUUCAAUGAUGGUUGAUCGUUGAACUUCGAAGACAGACAAGUCUGAUGAACUGUAAUUUAUUUUUUGCGUUAAAUCUGCGAAAUUUUAGUUGUGUUGGAUUUAUCUUAAAUUGUCAGCUUCUCUCCUUCCCCUUUUACGCAGAAUUAUUUUUUGGGAUGGGAUAUUUGUUAGUCUAUAUAGAUGAAUGAAAUGCGGAGUUAUCUACCAUUUUAUA